UACGUAGGGUGCGAGCGUUAAUCGGAAUUACUGGGCGUAAAGCGUGCGCAGGCGGCGCGUUAAGACAGGUGUGAAAGCCCCGAGCUUAACUUGGGAAUUGCGCUUGUGACUGGCGUGCUGGAGUGUGGCAGAGGGAGGUGGAAUUCCACGUGUAGCAGUGAAAUGCGUAGAGAUGUGGAGGAACACCGAUGGCGAAGGCAGCCUCCUGGGCCAGCACUGACGCUCAUGCACGAAAGCGGUGGGAGCAAACAGG
rnacentral:rRNA from 1 species